rnacentral:rRNA from 1 species
UGGGGAAUAUUGGACAAUGGGCGAAAGCCUGAUCCAGCCAUGCCGCGUGUGUGAAGAAGGUCUUCGGAUUGUAAAGCACUUUAAGUUGGGAGGAAGGGCAGUUACCUAAUACGUGAUUGUUUUGACGUUACCGACAGAGUAAGCACCGGCUAACUCUGUGCCAGCAGCCGCGGUAAUACAGAGGGUGCAAGCGUUAAUCGGAAUUACUGGGCGUAAAGCGCGCGUAGGUGGUUAGUUAAGUUGGAUGUGAAAUCCCCGGGCUCAACCUGGGAACUGCAUUCAAAACUGACUGACUAGAGUAUGGUAGAGGGUGGUGGAAUUUCCUGUGUAGCGGUGAAAUGCGUAGAUAUAGGAAGGAACACCAGUGGCGAAGGCGACCACCUGGACUGAUACUGACACUGAGGUGCGAAAGCGUGGGGAGCAAACAGGAUUAGAUACCCCUGUAGUCCCUGAGCGGGCUGGCAAGGCGCAU